rnacentral:rRNA from 1 species
CAAGUCGAACGAGAACCCUUGGAUUCGUCUGGGGGGGAGAGUGGCGAACUGGUGAGUAACACGUGGGUGACCUGCCCCGAAGACGGGGAUAACCGUUGGAAACGACGGCUAAUACCCGAUAUACUCGGUGAUUCGGUUCAUCGAGUAAAGGCUCCGGUGCUUCGGGAUGGGCCUGCGGCCUAUCAGCUAGUUGGUGGGGUAAUGGCCCACCAAGGCGAAGACGGGUAGGGGGCGUGAGAGCGCGGCCCCCCACACUGGCACUGAGAUACGGGCCAGACUUCUACGGAAGGCAGCAGUCGGGGAUAUUGCACAAUCGGCGAAAGCCGGAUGCAGCGACGCCGCGUGGGCGAUGAAGGCCCUUCGGGUUGUAAGCUCUUUUUAUGGGGGAAGAGACAAAGGACGGUACUCUCAAGAAUAAAGCGUCGGCUAACUACGUUGCCAGCAGCUGCGGUAAAACGUAGACCGCAAGCGUUAUUUCGGAUUUUACUGGGCGUAAAGAAGCGUGAGGCGGUUCCGUAAGUUGGGCGUGAAAGCCCGGGCUUAACCCGGGGAGGUCGUUCAAUACUGCGGGACUUGAGGGCAGCAGAGGGAGGCGGAAUUCCCGGUGUAGCGGUGAAAUGCGUAGAUAUCGGGAGGAACACCAGUGGCGAAGGCGGCCUCUGGGCUGUUUCUGACGCUGAAGGCGAAAGCUAGGGGAGCGAACGGGAUUAGAAACCCCGGUAGUCCUAGCCGUAAACGAUGGAUGCUGGGUGUGGGGGGUAUAGAUCCCCUCCGUGCCGAAGCUAACGCGUUAAGCAUCCCGCCUGGGGAUUACGGCCGCAAGGCUUAAACUCAAACGAAUUGACGGGGGCCCGCACAAGCAGCGGAGCGUGUGGUUUAAUUCGAUGCUACACGAAGAACCUUACCUGGGCUUGACAUGUAGGUAGUAGUGAAGCGAAAGCGGAACGACCCUUCGGGGAGCCUACACAGGUGCUGCAUGGCUGUCGUCAGUUCGUGCCGUGAGGUGUCGGGUUAAGUCCCGUAACGAACGCAACCCUUGCCCUUAGUUACAUGUGUCUAAGGGGACUGCCCGGGACAACUGGGAGGAAGGUGGGGAUGACGUCAAGUCAGCAUGGCCUUUAUGUCCAGGGCUACACACACGCUACAAUGGCCGGUACAAUGGGUCGCCAAGCCGUGAGGCGGAGCCAAUCCCCCAAAGCCGGUCUAAGUUCGGAUUGUGGGCUGCAACUCGCCCAUAUGAAGCUGGAGUUGCUAGUAACCGCGCGUCAGCAAUAGUGCGGUGAAUACGUUCCCGGGCCUUGUACACACCGCCCGUCACGUCAUGGAAGCUGGCAACACCUGAAGCCAGUGAGCUAACCCGCAAGGGGGGCA